rnacentral:rRNA from 1 species
CCUACGGGAGGCAGCAGUGGGGGAUAUUGCACAAUGGGGGGAACCCUGAUGCAGCGACGCCGCGUGGGUGAAGAAGCGCCUCGGCGCGUAAAGCCCUGUCAGCAGGGAAGAAAAUGACGGUACCUGAAGAAGAAGCACCGGCUAACUACGUGCCAGCAGCCGCGGUAAUACGUAGGGGGCAAGCGUUAUCCGGAUUUACUGGGUGGAAAGGGGGCGCAGACGGCGAUGCAAGCCAGGAGUGAAAGCCCGGGGCCAAACCCCGGGACUGCUCUUGGAACUGCGUGGCUGGAGUGCAGGAGGGGCAGGCGGAAUUCCUGGUGUAGCGGUGAAAUGCGUAGAUAUCAGGAGGAACACCGGUGGCGAAGGCGGCCUGCUGGACUGCAACUGACGUUGAGGCCCGAAAGCGUGGGGAGCAAACAGGAUUAGAUACCCUAGUAGUC